GGGGUUGUGGCUCAGCGGUAAAGUACUCACCUAGCAUGUGUGAGGCCCUGGAUUCGUUCCCCAGCACCACA
rnacentral:tRNA from 1 species